CUACGGGAGGCAGCAGCAGGGAAUAUUGGACAAUGGGCGCAAGCCUGAUCCAGCCAUGCCGCGUGAGUGAUGACGGCCUUAGGGUUGUAAAGCUCUUUCAACGGUGAAGAUAAUGACGGUAACCGUAGAAGAAGCCCCGGCUAACUUCGUGCCAGCAGCCGCGGUAAUACGAAGGGGGCUAGCGUUGUUCGGAAUAACUGGGCGUAAAGCGCACGUAGGCGGAUUGUUAAGUUAGGGGUGAAAUCCCGGGGCUCAACCCCGGAACUGCCUUUGAUACUGGCAAUCUAGAGUUCGAGAGAGGUGAGUGGAAUUCCGAGUGUAGAGGUGAAAUUCGUAGAUAUUCGGAAGAACACCAGUGGCGAAGGCGGCUCACUGGCUCGAUACUGACGCUGAGGUGCGAAAGCGUGGGGAGCAAACAGGAUUAGAAACCCGUGUAGUCC
rnacentral:rRNA from 1 species